UUUACUAUGAGCAGAUAUGUGCUUACAUGUUGUUGUUGUUGAGCUGACAUCUUUUGGGUGUUGUUUCAUUGUAGUGUUUUCUUUUGUUGGCCCUAUUGAUUGGGUUCAGGAUUGAGAAGUUAGGAACUUUAGAGGCUGAGGAUGAGAUGGUAGCUAGAUGUGUAUUCGAACUCUCAUGCUAAUUAACAAGUUGGAAGUAGUGCGGAAAAUAGAAUUAGUGCUGUAAUCACCCUUGUUUCAAUACACUGUUGUUUUGUGAACAAUUCAAUGUAAUUCUUAGUUCUUGCUAUUAAGGAUGCAUUUUUAUGGCUAGGAUUUAAUUGGAGCUACUUUCGCUUGCAUGCAUGCGUUCUUCUACUUGAUAAUAGGUGUCCGAUUAAUUCAGUUAACUCCUGGAAAAUGUCAUGAAUUUCAAGCUGCAAUUGAUUUACUCCAUCUGUGCUCAACCAAGAGCUUGAUAUGCCAAAACAGUGACUGACUAAUGUUCAAUGCAAUAUCUUUGGUUAAUUUUACUAUGGUGGUUUUAAUGGGUCUCUUUAUAUGCUACAUGAAACCUCGUUUUCACUGAUGUCAUAAAU
rnacentral:lncRNA from 1 species